rnacentral:lncRNA from 1 species
GCUGGGCCUCUCUCCGCAGCCGCGAGACCCGCGCUUGGCGCAUAGGCCGGUUCUAAUUUACAAGAACACCGCGGCCUGAGGCCGGAGAGUCCCUUCAACCCGGGAGACGGCGCCAUUGCCCUCCAGCCUGGGCAAAAAGAGCGAAACUCCGUCUCAAAAAAAAAAAAACAUGGCCGAAACCAGGAAGCUGCGCGAUGGCGCCACGGCCCCUCUUCUCCCGGCCUGUGUCCGGAAGGUUUCCCUCCGAGGCGCCCCGGCUCCCGCAAGCGGAGGAGAGGGCGGGACGUGCCGGGGCCGGAGCUCAGAGGCCCUGGGGCCGCUCUGCUCUCCCGCCAUCGCAAGGGCGGCGCUGAC